CCCAAAGCUAGGAAAUCAUUAACCAAUAAAUAUCUGAACGUAAAGUAGAAGCUUCAAAGUUAUUUCUAUAGCCCCAACAUUUCUAGUAGAGUCAAUAAAAUCCUUAAACCAGGAAAUAAGGCACCCUCUCCUCCAAUUAAGUAUUAGUCAUUAUUUCAAAAGCAGAUGAUGAGAUGCAAUAGGAGUUCAUGAACAUCAUUCCCUCUCAAUUUCUACGAAAAGUUUUUUAAUCAUCAGAAAUAGUUUUUUCGAAUAAUUGGCUUCUGAUUUCGUCCUCCAAUGACGCUUCCUGAUUGUCAUUGUUUAAAGAAGGAAAUGAAACCCCUCUGAGAAGAGAAUUAAUUUUAGCUACCAUGGUGUUCGUACUGUUGAGGGUUGAUAUCAAUUCAGGGUUUUUCUUCCACAUAUUCGUAUGUAUUGAAGAAGGCCCAUCUUCAAAAGGUUCCAACAUUUUUUCGAUUUGCUCAAGUUCAGAGCGCUCCUGUUCUAAUUCUGACAACGUUGUUAAUAGACCAAGUAACUCUCCCGUAAGACGAUUGAACUUCUCUUGCUCCUCAUCCUUUUCGACAGGUCGGGAUUCUUUUUGAAAAGGCCAUGGAUGGGGAAGUGAUUUUACACUGUCUAAAUUGCUUAAAUCAAUUUCUCCAUAAAAUAAUGGAUUUAAAAAGGUAAUGUCCUCAAUAGCGCUAUUUUGUUCAUAUAACUUUCGUAUUUGAGCGGCAACAUGCUGAGUUGCUUGAUGUGAAUAAUUUAGCUUUGCAUGCUUUUGGAUACGAAGUUGCAAUCCUGUUUUGGUUAAUAAUAAUAUUUUGAACUUUUUAUUUGUAGGAGAAAUCCAGACAAAAGCAUGGAACACGUACGUUGGAAUACAGUUUCAACGACUGAUUCUGAAAGCUGACCGGAUUUUAAAGGAAGUUUCCAAUCCUUUGGAGGGCGCAUAGGUCGGUUCAACAGCCGUAUCUGUCGUUCCAUGAAUGAUUUUUUAUGUUCGUAAAUAUCCAUUUAGGAAGUAAAUUUGAUUUAAAUCAAGAUUAUCAGGAUUAAAAUAAAAACAGUUGAAUACUGAUCGAAAAACAAGUCAAUAUGGUAUUGAAAUUAACAAAGCAAGUUCACGCAAAGGCAACAAACUAACAGCGACUUUUGAGCAUAUAGACGUCUUCAGUGUAAGCACUUCCAAAAUUAAUUACUUAACAAAAAAAGACCAAAUCAAUCAGACCUUGGCUGAUGGUUGAUUAAUGACAAAUUUUGAGAAAGUUACAGGAGACUAAAGAAGUCGAAAAGUCGAGCGACUAAAUAGAAUACUUUGAAUGAUGUUAAAAUGAAGAUUUUAUGUACAUAAUC